rnacentral:rRNA from 1 species
GUCCGCACAGUAAACGAUGAAUGCUCGCUGUUUGCGAUACAAUGUAAGCGGCCAAGCGAAAGCGUUAAGCAUUCCACCUGGGGAGUACGCCGGCAACGGUGAAACUCAAAGGAAUUGACGGGGGCCCGCACAAGCGGAGGAACAUGUGGUUUAAUUCGAUGAUACGCGAGGAACCUUACCCGGGCUUGAAUUGCGGAUGACUGACUUGGAGACAGGUCUUCCUUCGGGCAUCCGUGAAGGUGCUGCAUGGUUGUCGU